CUUGACUGUCCUAUUUUAUUUAUUGAUGAUCUAUCUGUUUUGAUGGUUGAUAAAAAGAUUCUUGUUUUUGAUAAUGCAUGUGUGAGUGAAUCUAUAGACCGUCGAUUAAUGCAUGGUAUGAUUAUGCAACUCUGUGAACCAUGUAAAUCUUUUCAAAUACCUACUUGUGACGAUUAUGUUUACCAUUUGAUUUAUUACUUGCAAUUUAUUCAUGGUUUGUGGGAACAAUGUGAGACGACUGAAUGCCUUAAAACAUGUCCAUCUUUGUUUCAAAUAUUUGACGAGGCAGUGGUGAGUAAAUUAGAUUGUUUGCAUGGUAAUCUGAAUCUGUCCAUUCACAUGCGUUAUACCUGUUCUGUUAUGCUUAUGAUUGGACUACAAGCUUGUUUCCGUUGCUAUUUACUAUCUCAUGAACACUUAGAUCGAAACGUGCUUGACUGUCCUAUUUUAUUUAUUGAUGAUCUAUCUGUUUUGAUGGUUGAUAAAAAUAUUCUUGUUUUUGAUAAUGCAUGUGUGAGUGAAUCUAUAGACCGUCGAUUAAUGCAUGGUAUGAUUAUGCAACUCUGUGAACCAUGUGAAUCUUUUCAAAUACCUACUUGUGACGAUUAUGUUUACCAUUUGAUUUAUUACUCGCAAUUUAUUCAUGGUUUGUGGG
rnacentral:lncRNA from 1 species